CGGGUGGCGGAGGACGAACCUCAGUUGCCUCCGCGUCUGAGACCGUCAAUCCGCGCAUUUUAUCACGUGGCUUGUUAAGCACGUUACCACGGAGACCUAGUGUGUGUGGAGGCUUCACGCUAUUCUCCCCGGCAUCCAUGCACAACUCACCAUGUGCCCCACUGAGAGCGAGAACCACAUUAUAGCGGCCAUGAGGAGGUGAACCCAACUUGACUCUACCCACCCUAGCAACCGGGCCAGCUGGUUGCUUAGGAAGCCUGACUGGAGUCACUCAGCACGCCCUGGAUUCGAACUUGCGACUCCAGGUGAAGGAGACAUGGGCGGACGUUGAGCGCAUGUGAAGCCAGCAAAAAAGAAUUGCCAAGCAGUCUCUUUUUAAUGCUGCACUUUAUACUCUGGGAGAGUUAAGUUAAAAAGAAGCUCGCCGCUAAAAUGAUAUCCUUGCCUAUUGUGAAUAUUCCAUGUAGCUGUGUACGAAGCACCGCCCAUACAGAGGUCACUGCCAAACCAAAUAACUUCCUAAUGGUCAAUUUGAACCCAACUUGAACCCCACGUGAAAUCCGCGAGGAGAAAAUUCUUUGCCACUGGAAGUCCAUCAGACAAAAUUAAUGACUGCACAGAUUCUACAAGAUGACUGUAUUUCACCUGCGAAUUUCACCGUGCGAAGGAUUCAUAUCCCAAGGUUAUCAGAGCCGGCCAGGUCCAGCUCCAUUCCUGCUUCGUGUUGGACUCCACUGCUACGUGUCACUGAUUGAUGAUGACUAAAUGCAGCCGGUGCCAGCCAGAGAUCACUUCAGUCUAUUACGAUGGACUUCAAGGGAUGAACUGAUGCCAACUCUAACCAUAAGACAUGGGAUCCUUCAUAUGCCACUGCCUGAACCUUGGACUUAGGAUGGACCUCACCAAAAUGACCUGCUGGUUGAACUGCAAUGUACCUCACUGAUCUCUGCCUGCAUCACCUUGGUCUAAUGAUGGACUACACUCUUAAAAUGGAAUACAUAGACUGUCAAUUAAUAGCCAACAAAUGCCUUCAUCAGCCAACUAACAAAGGACAAUGCAUCAAUGUGAACUUCUGCAGUUAAUCCAGGAUGAACUUCAAAGACAUUAGUCAUUAAUCUUACAGUUCAUACAGAAUCUUUGUUUAAACACUGGCCCUUAACACUUACUUAGUUUACACAUUUUAAACCAUGACUUGCACUGCAUAUAAAUAACUAAUAUUGGCAUUAUAUUCAUGAAGUUAGCCAGAGGGGAACUGGCCCCCACAUUGAGCCUGGUUUCUCCCAAGGUUAUUUUUCUCCAUUAACCAUCAUCUUAUGGAGUUUUGUGUUCCUUGCCACAGUUGCCUUUGGCUUGCUCACUGGUGUUCUAAAUACAAUUAUUAUUGAAUUAUCUAUUUUUAUACACAAUUUACAAUAGUAUUUAAUCAAACUACACAAUGAUCACUCAAAUACAUUAUAGAUAU